UGGCGGAGCGACACCUCACCAACGUGCCUAUGCGACUCGGAUCCAUCCGGGAAACCCGAGCUAAUCCCGCAUAGUUCCUUGAACCGCAUGGUUCAAGGAUGAAAGACGGUUUCGGCUGUCACUUACAGAUGGACCCGCGGCGCAUUAGCUAGUUGGUGAGGUAACGGCUCACCAAGGCGACGAUGCGUAGCCGACCUGAGAGGGUGAUCGGCCACACUGGGACUGAGACACGGCCCAGACUCCUACGGGAGGCAGCAGUAGGGAAUCUUCCGCAAUGGACGAAAGUCUGACGGAGCAACGCCGCGUGAGUGAUGAAGGUUUUCGGAUCGUAAAGCUCUGUUGUUAGGGAAGAACAAGUGCAAGAGUAACUG
rnacentral:rRNA from 1 species